AGCGAACGCUGGCGGCAGGCCUAACACAUGCAAGUCGAGCGCACCUUCGGGUGAGCGGCGGACGGGUUAGUAACGCGUGGGAACAUACCCUUUUCUACGGAAUAGCCUCGGGAAACUGAGAGUAAUACCGUAUAAGCCCUUCGGGGGAAAGAUUUAUCGGGAAAGGAUUGGCCCGCGUUAGAUUAGAUAGUUGGUGGGGUAAUGGCCUACCAAGUCUACGAUCUAUAGCUGGUUUUAGAGGAUGAUCAGCAACACUGGGACUGAGACACGGCCCAGACUCCUACGGGAGGCAGCAGUGGGGAAUCUUAGACAAUGGGCGCAAGCCUGAUCUAGCCAUGCCGCGUGUGUGAUGAAGGUCUUAGGAUCGUAAAGCACUUUCGCCAGGGAUGAUAAUGACAGUACCUGGUAAAGAAACCCCGGCUAACUCCGUGCCAGCAGCCGCGGUAAUACGGAGGGGGUUAGCGUUGUUCGGAAUUACUGGGCGUAAAGCGUACGUAGGCGGAUUGGAAAGUUGGGGGUGAAAUCCCAGGGCUCAACCCUGGAACUGCCUCCAAAACUAUCAGUCUAGAGUUCGAGAGAGGUGAGUGGAAUUCCAAGUGUAGAGGUGAAAUUCAUA
rnacentral:rRNA from 1 species